UACGUAGGGGGCAAGCGUUGUCCGGAUUUAUUGGGCGUAAAGAGCGUGUAGGCGGCUGGGUAGGUCCGCUGUGAAAACUCGAGGCUUAACCUCGAGACGUCGGUGGAAACCAUCCAGCUAGAGUCCGGAAGAGGAGAGUGGAAUUCCUGGUGUAGCGGUGAAAUGCGCAGAUAUCAGGAAGAACACCAGUGGCGAAGGCGGCUCACUGGGCCCGGUACUGACGCUGAGGCACGAAAGCGUGGGGAGCAAACAGGG
rnacentral:rRNA from 1 species